GUGCGCUUCACCUCGGAGUUCCCACUCCACUCCAAGGAUCCAACAGCGCACAAGCUGCUCUUCACGGGCAACUACCUCUGCAAGCUUCACCCCCGGCCCCGCCACGCCCCGCAGGGUUCCCUGUCUGGUCUGGAUCACCUCGCUCUCCCUGCGCCUCUCUCCUUGGCCUAGCUAGACAAGUGCUUCUCACGAUCCAGCGCGUUUACCGCUCGGUUUCGUCGCCGCUAAGGGGUGGUGGUGUCUGAUCCGUCAGGCUCUGCGCUUCUCUCUCGGAUCCAUCCUCAAUGUCCAGGCAGGACUCUCACAUGAAGCCGGUGCUGUCUGCUGUUCACUCUAAGAUGUCCAGCCACUCAGGACAGUUACGAUCUGUCAUCCAGGGCCCAAACCGACUCUCCUCUAUUGCUAUCUGAGACUCUUCCACCUGUAUGCCCAUCUUCAUAGACCGGCCCAUCACUGGUGCCUCAAGCAUUUUCACUAUCACAGCCAGUAAUCUGCAGACUCAACCUCAAGCCUACUUUGUACUUUGGUAUAAACUGCAUGGAUACCAAUCCCUUUUCACAGGUUUUCAUCUCCUGGUCUCCCAUAGGAUCCAGGAUGAGUAUCCUCCCAUUUGACCAGUUCCAUCCCAGUAUGGAGCAGAUAUCCCUUGUAAAGAACACAGUCUCCACCAGCCCACCUGCUUUUAUGGUCAACAGCCCUACCUGAAUUUCCAACAUUGCCUUUUGACCCAAGAAACACCUAUCACCUGAAAUCUAGGGUUCCAGACAGGCAUCAACAGGAAACCACUCUCUUCAAUGCCCUGUCUUUUCUGGCCCACCUACCACUGCUUCUGCAGUCACCUCCACUAUAGUAAGCAGACCCUCUUCAGACUUGGCAUCCAAGCCUGCCUUUUACUCUGAUGAAAUCAACAUGGAUACCAUGCCCAUUUCCCCAUCUGUUAUCUUCCUGUCUCUCCCUGCAAUGUUAACAGCUGUUUCCCUUUGAAGAACCUGGCAGCCCCCAGAAAUCCUUCCUACUUAACCUCUACUGCAGCCCUGGAACCCAAUGACAGCACCACUCAGGCAGCUUUUGGGAAUUUGACUCCCCCAUGUCCACCUUUGGCAUCUGCUAUGGUUUGAAUGUGUCAACCAAAUUUCGUGUAUUAAAAACUCAAUCCCCAAAUUCAUAUGUAAAUAUGUUUGAAGGUGGGGGCCUUUGGGAGGUAAUGAGGAUUAGAUAAAGUCAUCAGGGUGGACCCCUAUGAUGGGACUGGUAAAAGGAAGAGACACCUGAGCUGACAGGCUCUUGCUCUUGCCAUGUGAUGUGCUCCACCAUGUAACGACAUAGCAAGAAGGUCUUCACCAGAUGCCAGCACUGUGCUCUUGAUUUGCUAUCAGAGAGGAUAGUGCCAUACCUCUGGUUGGAGACAGAUGACUUCAAUACAAAGCUUAUGACCUCAGUCAGAGUGCCUGGGGUUCAACUGGGUGUAGCACAUCUGUUGCAGGUGCAAAUGUGUGUUUAAAAGUCCCUGUAUUCCUGUCUCCCAAUCAGAGCAGUAAGGGCUCACCUGGACAAAGAACAGGGCUAUAAUGGGUGGAGACCACACCAUACCUGUGUUUGUAUAUAUGUCUCUUUCUACAAUGAUUGAGAUAGUUCUGACCGGACCAUAUUUGUUGUAAUCAGAGGGUAUAACAGCAUAUAAUAUUAGGGAGCCACUC
rnacentral:lncRNA from 1 species